rnacentral:misc_RNA from 1 species
GUGGUGGUGGCGGUGGUGGUGGUGUAACAUCAAGAAAUGCUAGCAGCAAUAAAUGCAAAAAGGAAGUCAAGAAAGACAAGGCUGAAGUGGCACAUAGGGUUGCAUUUAGAACCAAAUCGGAUUUGGAGAUCAUGGAUGAUGGAUUUAAGUGGAGGAAGUACGGCAAGAAAUCAGUCAAGAACAGCCCUAAUCCGAGGAACUACUAUAAAUGUUCAACUGGUGGAUGCAAUGUAAAGAAAAGAGUAGAAAGGGACAGAGAAGACUCAAGAUAUGUGAUAACAACUUAUGAUGGUGUCCACAACCAUGAAAGCCCUUGUGUGGUGUACUACAAUCAGAUGCCUCUCAUGGUCCCAGAUGGCUGGACUUUGCAAGCUUCUUCUUCUUCUCCUCAUCACUCUUCUUCCUCUUCAUAAGCUUUAUUUCUAUUUACACUUUCCCUCUUUAGUCAUCAUCACCAUCAUCAUGUUAAUUAAUUCUCUCUUGUUAUACCAUCAGAACUCUGCUUGCUUAAUGUAAUUUUAUAUGAGCUUACAUCAUUUUGAUCUAUGGUAUACUGAUGACUACUAUUACUAUUAUGUUCACCCUCUUACCCCCCUCCCAACCAACCCCCCAAUGGGCUGGCCCACAUAAGAUAAUAAGAAUUGCCAUUGCACUGGGCUGGCCUGGGCCAGUAAAUAAAGCUCACUUGCUCAUAAGGUCAUAGCCCUGGCUCAGAAUAAACAGAGAUAUGAAUAAAGAGCCACCUUUGAUCUCU